GAGCGUAAUGGAGAGAAGAGAUCCCUUGAUGGGAUCAGAGGGAGAAAGGGAGAAUGGAAUGGGGUAAUGGGAUAUGGGGUCAAUAACGGAAUGAAUAAUGAGAGAACGAGUAUCGAGGGAGAUUGAACCAUAGUAGGAAGUUGAAAUAGUGAUUAGAGCAGAUGCAUGAAUGAGAGUGGAAGGAAAAUCGAAGAAGAGUGAGAGGGAAUAGUGAAGGGCUUGAGGAUGGGUUGAAUCAGUGUAAGAAUGUGGGUCUACAGGCGCCAUUGAUGAACACAAGAAGAACAAAAAUGGGGUUUAUGAAUUCAGAAAGUGAAGUUGUUGCUGAGUUUUUGUCAACAACCCGUUCCAGAUAUUUCCCUCUAAUCUACAACGAGGUUUGAAGGCACUUUAAACAAAUAAGUAUAGAAAUACCAAAAUUGCAAACUUCAAAUGGCAAAAGGGACCGAAAUGCCUCACUCCAUUUAUUUAAUUAUAUUAAAUCCAAAUCUAUCAUAUUUUCCCUAAUUCAUAGAUUUUAAAUAGAUUACGAAUACAAAUAUUUAAACAAAAUACCUCAAUUUACUGUUCAAUUUUCACAGAUCUACUCAAUCAUUAUUUCUUUCCUUCAUUAGAUUUUCAUAAAUUAGUAGGCAAUUAUAACCCUAUUAUAAUUAUUAAUUAUAUAUAAAUUUUGAAUUUAAGUUAAAAGAAUUAUCUUUUUUUAUAUUAUACUAAAUUAAUUAUGUAAAGUAUAACUUCUUUUUUUUCUUAUAGUAAUUAAUGUAUAAAUUUAAUAAUGAAAUUAAUUAGAAAUAUUUGAUUAAUUCAAUAUAAAAUCAAAUCUUUUUUACGCGGGUGAGUUUUGUUCGUAAAUCAAUUUCUGUUGUUUAUUCCAUCAAUUUUGUCGAUAUCAAUAACGUUCUUUAUUUUGGUUCUUAAGUUUUGUUCGAAAUUUCGUUCUAUAGACAACUUCAAGUUAGUUAGCUUUCUCAAUUACUUUCGCUUUUUUUCAAAUAACAAUCAAUUACUUUCGCUUUUCUUUUCUUCAAAUUUCAUACUUUAUCUAGAUGAUCCUUACACAUAUAUAUCACAUCAUAUAUACAAUUGGACAUAUAUAAUUAUGUACGGUAAGAAGUUUGAAUUUUUCCUUAUUUUCACCCAACAGAAUUUGUGUUUAAAUUAUAUGUUUAUAUAAUAAAUAUUACUAAAAUAGUAGUAAAAUAAAUGAGCACAUAUACAUAAUUAUCCCUUAUAAAUGUAUUUUAAUAUAUUCACAAUCUAUAAUAGUUCUGUUAUGUUCUUUAGUAUAUAUAUACAUCAUAUUAUAUACAAUAAUACUUUAUACAUAAUUCCGACAAAAUUUGUGUUUAAAUUAGUAAAUAUUACUAAAACAGAAGUAAUCUACAUAUAUUUCUUUUAUAAAUGUAUUUUAUUCAUUUAUAAAUGUAUUUUAAUAUAUCCACAACUUAUAGUAGUUAUUAUGUAAUUUAGUAUAUAUAUACCUCAUAUUAUAUAUACAACAAUACUAUAUAGUGACAUCUAGUAAAUCAACACAGAAUAAGUUUUUGUUACGUAUUUAAAUGACAAUAUAAGUUAAAUAUACUCAGUACACAUUUUCGUUAAGUCCUAAAAUGUAUCACAAUGCAAGGAUUUUUUAAACUAUGAAUCUCAAUAAACUGUAGAAUGUAUCACAUUCAAAACUACAUGUUCGUUUGUUUGACUAUUUAAUCGAAUAUCUAAAAUAUACCUAAUAUACAUUAGUAACCUCCAAAUUUCUACCCAUAUUCUUUAAAAAAAAAUUAUGUCUUACCGGUCGUCGAAAGUUUUCUUCUUCACCGCCGAAAUCUCAAUAAACCCUAGAAUGUAUCACAUUCAAAACUACAUUUUCCUUUGAUUGCCUAUUUAAUAGAGAAUAUCUAAAAUAUACCUAAUGUUUCAUAUAUUUUGAAUAUAUACAAUACUAACCUCGAAAUUCCUACCUAGAAUCUAUCAGAGAAGUACUUUUGUAUUUUUCGACCGUCGAAUGUCUUCUUCUUCACCUCUGAACUCUCUAAAAGUUUUAUGUAAAAACUAUAAUCCAUGUUGGAAGGAGCAGAUGACCAUUUUCGUAGAAGGAAAGCAUUAAAUAGUUUUCCACUUCUUUCCAAAUUCGUAUCCCACGAUUUUUUUUUUAGAUAUUUGUUAUAAAUCAAUUAAAUAAUAGAAAUGUGUAUUAAAGUAAUUUAGAUCAUACAUAUGUGUAACAUGGACACACAUUUAAGACAUUUAUGAAAAUUGUUAGAAAUUAGGCUCUUCAUGCAAUAUCAUACACCAAGUUAGGCUCUAUAUGAGUUAAGAGACAUUUACAAAUAUAUUUACAAGAUUUGGGUUUGUUAUAUCAAAAUGAUACCUAAAUAUAUUUUUAAUAACAAUUUAUAUUUAUAUUUUAGAUUAGAUUCCUUAAAUUUCAGCCUAACUUACGUUUAUUAAUAUCUUUUAUUCUUUUUAUUUUAAAAAGAAAAUUCUAUUUCCGUGAUAGUUAUAUAUAUAUUUAGAAAGUAAAUGAAAAAUAUAUAUGCAUAAUAGGUUCAUUGUUUGAAAAUGUGUACUUUUUAUAUUAGUUUGAAAUAUCAUUAUUCAUAUUAUUUGCAUUAUAAAAUUUAAAAUGUGUGUUAUUUAUAUCUACUUUUUAAAAAAUAAUUUGAAAAGGUGAAUUUUUAUAUUAUUUUGAAAUAUAAGUACUAGAUUUUGUGAUGAAAUUGUUAAUUCGGGAGAGUGUUCUCUAAUAUUAUUGAAUUUGCUUGGUUGUAUGGAAAAAAAUUGUGCUUAUGUUCGUUAAAAUGCAAUGUAUUUCAUAUAUUUUCCAGCCUAAGUAUAUUGACUUUGCAAUUAUACUCUAUCGUAGGUUAUUUGUAUUAAAUUCAAGUAUCAUUCUUUUCAAAUUAAAUGCAUUCAUAAUAAAAAAAUUAUGUCAUAUAUUAUCAUUUAGGGUCAAGAUGCAUUAUGUAUAGUUUGUAACCGUAGUUGCCUUAUAGAGAGAGUAUUUGUCUUUUUUGUAUUUUUGCAUUCAAUUGUUGUAAAUCUAACCUAUUAGUUAUUUCGAACGAAAAGAUUAUACGUUGGUAUCUAAGCAAUGUGAAAUUUAACACACUAUUAAAUACAUCCUCAUUAUCUCGAAUAUGCUCUCUGAUUACAGUGUAGUUCGUAUAGUAAUAUUAAUCCUGGCUCUGGCCCUCAUUAUAAGAUAAUUUGUAGAUUCAAAGUAUAGCCUAUUUAUCUCCCAUUUGAGAUUAUGCAAACAACGUUCAACUUUAGUAAACCCUAACUAAAUCUGGGAUAUUGCAUGCAACAACUUCCCCUCAACAAAUAUAUCUUCAAGAUUAACAAUUUCGGUAAUUUAUAAUUAAAUAAUACACAAUAUAUAUUUUUAAUAAUAAUUUGGAAUUACACGGAUGUAUUUUAGAUUAGAUUUCAAAAAUUGAGCGUACAUUUAAUAUGUAGAAUAUGUUCAUUAAUAUUAUUUUUUUAAAAAUUUUAGAAUGUAUAUUUUGAUGGUAGUUAUAUCUAUUUUAAAACAUUAUAUUAAAAUGUAUAUGCAUGCUUUACUCAUUAUUUUAAAAUGUAGGUUAUUUAUAUCUAUCUUUAAAAAAUAUUCCAAAAAUAUUUAGUUUUUUAUAAUAUUUUGAAAUAUCAUUAAUUUUGUUAUUUGCUUUAUUCUAAAUGUUGUUUUUUAAAGGUGUUAUCAAGCAUCAAUUUCGCUGAGCAUUAGGAACUCAAACGAGCGAAAGAAGAAUGGGAAAAACUAACUUUUUUUUUUUUAUGUAGAGGAUGAAACUGGAAUCGUUUUGACGAAGAAACUCCUAUGCAAGUAAAAUUUGAAUACUUCUCUGCCUUGCGUUGAAUGUAUGAAGAGUUUAAAGAGAACGAAGCUUGAAGUUUAAAUUGUUUUGGGUUUGAAGAAUAUUUUUCGGUGAACCUCUUUUCGCUGAACAUUUGAAUGCUUGAAGGGUUUGAAAGGUGUGAAGGAUUUGAAGGGUUUGUAACGUAUGAUAACGUUCUUUUGCGCACGAAUUGAACAAAAUAUGAAAUGAGUCUCCAAAUUAUGUUUUGAUAUGAAAAAAUUAUGAGAUAGAUGUAAUAAUUAUUUUUUUGGAGUUUAAGUCAAUUAUGAGAUAUUUGUGGUUGAUGGGAUAAUUGUAUUUGGGGUGCUAGAUUUUUUUUACUAGAUUACGAGCAUUUAAGACAUUGUUGCAGUAGUUUUUUUUUAUCAAUUUAAAUUAAAUUUUGUUAUUUAUCCAAAGUAAACCUUCGACUUAGCUAUUCUUCUCUUCCAAAACCGAACGAGCCUCUCCCUAAAAAGCAGAUAAUCCAUAAGGUUGUAAAUGGGUUGGGUUGGGUUGUCGAGUUGCCAUCCUUAAGCAUGUUUUCUUUUACCUUAUUUUCUUUAAUUAAUAAUAAAAUAUAAAUAUAAGGAAUAUUAUAAAAAAAUUGCAAAUUCGAUAAAGUAUUUAUAAAAUAUAGCAAAAUUUCAUAUUCUAUCGAUAAUGAUAUCAUUCUAUCAGUGGCAAUGAAAGACGGUGGUCAGUGAUAGAAGGUUAUCUUUGUAAAUAUUUUAAUUUAUUUUACUAUAUUUUAAAAUGACCCUAAAUAUAAUAUAUAUAAUAUAAUUCUAAUUUAUAAAUAAAUAAAUAUAUAAAUAAAUUUUUUAAAAAAUAAAACAAAGCGACAAAAUAUUUACACAAAAAUAACUCAUAGUGGAAAAUACCAAAAAUGUCAAUUAAUUUGGCACUCGCGCACGUAUAAUAUAUUUGGUACACAAUCUUGGCUACCCAAAUCUAAAUGAUUUUUUUAAAGAUUAUUUGUGUACAUAAUUGUUUAGAUUUGACUCUUCUUUGUUACAUGAUAGUUUAGAUUUGAACGAUCUUAUUUUGAGCUCUAACAAUUUUUUCAAGAUUUUUUUAUAUUUGGUACAUGAAUUUGAACCAAAUAAUAUAUGAUUGAUUGAAAAAAUAUUAUUAUUUUAAAGAAAAAUGGCAUAAGAAUAAAAGAAGAAAGACAUUGAUAAAAAAAUUGCAGAAGAGGAAGAGAAGAAAGACUAUGAAAAGGAAUAACAAACUUAAAAUAUUUUAAAAAGGAAUAACACCGUUGAACUUUUUGAUCAACUCAUUGUACAGACAACUUUGAAUUGUUGCCUGAAAAGAAAAAAAUAUUACAUUUUAUAUUUAAAUCUAAAAAAAUUAUUAUUAACAACUAUAUUAGAAUUAUAAACAAAGUGAUAAACAAUUUAAUUUAACAAAUAGUUUAUGAUUACCUCUUCAUCCAUACAAUAAGUUUCAAUACCUCUAACACUUCUCAUUUUUUAGUUUUAUAUUUUUCAAUAGUGGUUUUACGAAUUGCACUCUCUUUCAAGCUCAAAUUAUUUGACAAAAGUUUCAAAUUUUGUAUUAGCAUAUGCUCCAUCAAGGCAACAAUUUUAAAGUGAAAAAAUAUUAAAACUUACAAAAUAAUAGAAUGUAAAAAAAAAAAUGUACAUAUGAGCAUUACCUUAUAAAUUAAUUUUCUCUUUAAGUUGGCACAAAGAAUUAGUAGAUCAAAACUGAAAACAACCAAAUAUUAGUUUUGAAGUGUCAAGUUACAGUAUAUUUUAAAAAUGCGCUAAUCUACUUUAUUUUUAAUUUGGUAAAGUGGUUGGGCCUCUUCUUUGCUAUCCCAAGGUCAAGGUGUUGGAUUCAACCUCUAGCUUUUAAUGCAAUUAAAGAAAUGAUAAAUAAAUAAAAGGAAAAGUGAAAAAUAUCAGUGGAGUUAAAAAGUACGAAAUAAAUAAAUAAAAUGAGAGAAAAAAGAGCCGUGGACAUUAAGAAAGAAAUAAAGAAAGAAUAAAGUGAAAAAAUUUGCUUUAUUCCCUCAUUUAAUCAAUCAUUAGAAAUUACAUUUUAUUCUCUUAUCCUAAACAAUAAACAAAUCUUAACCCUUUUCGUUGUUGGAAAUACACAUCAAAAUUCAAACCGAUUUUGCUUAAAGCAAAUGAUAAUAUUUAAAAUAUUUUCAUCCAAAUAAAAAUCAACAUUUUGUUUGAAAUUAAUAAUUUCAUUGCCAAUAUUUUAAACAAAUCAUUCAAAUAGCUAAGAGAAUUUAAGUAGGUUUUUAAUUUAAAUUAAGAAAAUAACGAAAAAAACUCAUAGGAUUCCCUUUCCUAAUUUUGACUUGUUUUAAAAUUUUAAUUGAGAUUAAUUCGUUUUGGUUAUUAGGUAAUAUAUUUAUUAUUAUCAAAUCCUAAAUUUGUAUAAUCAUUAGUUAAAUUUUUUAAAAAUUUUUAAAGAUAUGUUUUUACAUUUUAUUUACUAACAUCUAUUUCUUAAAUAAACGUUAUCUUUAACUCAUUUUCUAUUAUUUUGUUUAAUAAAAAAGUCACAUUUUGUAUAUAUACAUAUAAUAUAUUUCUUUUAUUUUUUAAAAAUAAAUUAUAAUAUAUACUUCAUUUAUAGCUAUGUACGAGAAAAUACAUCUUUUUAAGAUAAUAUUUUAUCUCUAAUAAUAUUUUACAUAAAAUAUUUUUUUAAAAAAUAGCAUUUUGUCUAACUAAUAUCAAUCCCAACUUAAAUAAAUGAUUUUUUUGAAAAAGAAAUUUACGUAUCUAAAUUAUUUUUUAUAAAAUUAAAUUAGAAUUUUAUAAAAUUAAAUUGAGUUCAAGGGUAGGAUUGGAUUUGCAUAUAAAAAAAUGGUUUUUUAAUAAUACAUUUUAAAAAAAUUCUUUUAAGUAAAAUGAGUUUAAAAAUCUAAACACGUGUUUGGUUUGAUCUCUUUAUAAAUAUUUACGUGUAAAAUUGUGUUUCAUUUGUCCUAUACUAAUGUUUAUACUUAUUUCAAAUUAUCAUGAAAUGCUUAUCAACUAAUUUCAUAAAUUAAAUACAUAUAAUUUGAAUUUUUUGCAAAAAUAUAUUUUAAAAUUGGUUGCAUGUUGUUUUGAAAUUAUUAAUUUUAGUAGUUACUUACGAUAUUAAUUUUAACUUUUUUUGUAUUAAUUUUCUUUAGACAAUUCAGUUUUAGAAGCACAAAUAACUUGAAAGGUAAAUAACAUAACGACGAAAAAAUAUUUGAUUCCCAACAACAAAAUAUAAAUAAGAUAAUAUUUUUUCGAGACAAUAUAAUACCAAUUAGAUAAAAAGAUGUACAAUUCGAUCAUGUUCUUCAUUCAUUUUUAUUUCACGAAUCGAAUGUUCUUCAUUGACAUUCUCAUGAUUUCUUUCACAAAUGUUAGGCGAAUUAGAUUUGGCUUGAACAUUUGCAAAUCUCUAUAUUUAAAUGUAUAUGAACACACAUUGAAAAAAUAUUCAAAGUAUUUGAAAAUUAACAAAAACAAAAAGAAAAAAAGACGGAGUGAAAAAUAGAUACUAAAAAAGAAUAUAAAAAAUAGAUAUUUGGAAGGGAUUCCUCGCUAAACACCAAAUAAAUGUUUAUUCAAAAAUUUGGUUGCAUAUGUUUUCUCUAAAAUAAGUUAUUUUAUAAUUUUAUUUUUCUAAAAAUUAUUUAAAACAAUUAAACAUUUCAAAAAAUCAAUCCAAACAUACUCUAAAUCUAUCAGCAUAUUCGGUCUUUUGUUCUCAUUUUGUUUAACACUUACCCUCUUUAUCAAAGAUGAUGUGUGAGUGUUUUUUUAGUUUUUUUUUUUUUUUACUUUUUUAGAAAUUUUAUUUUUUAAUAUUUGUAUGAAAUUGAGAUUAUAUAUUUGCGAUUCAGAUCGUAAUUAGGAUGCCAUCAAUGAAAUCAUAUUAUCAAUAUAAAUAGGUAAAUAUGACCUUCCUUUGUACUAAUAUUUUCAAUUGUUCGAUGUUAGUCUCUAUACUUAUAAUUAAUUUUAAAUUUAGUCUCAAAUGUUACUGAUUUUUAAAAAUUUCUUUUGUUAUUUAUAAUAUUUUUACACAAAAUUUGGAAAUACAUCUACAUAUUUCAUCUAAUUAAAUAAAAUUAAAUUUAAAAAGGGUCUGAAUUUGGUAUUUUAAUACUAAGAUUAAAAUAAUUAAUGAAAUAAUAAAUAAAGAAAAGAAAAAAGGAAAAAUAUUAUUGGGAUUAAAAAAAAUAGUGGAUUCAAAAGGAAGAAUAAAAUGAAGAACUUUGCUUUAUUCCCUAAAAAUUUCAUCAAUCAUUCGAAACUUUAUUUUCCUCUACAUUUUAUUCUCUUUUGCCAAACAAUAAACAAAUCCAACACUUUUGUGGUUGUAGUGAUUUAAUAGUCUUUUAAUUGUACCAAAAAUAAAAAAUGUUCACAAUGCUCCCAUUUAAAUAAUAAUAAUAAUAAUAAUCUAUCCAUUGUUUUAGAAGGAAAAAUUAUAUCAAUAUUGCAAUUUUUAAAACUAAUUACUAAAAUAUUGUUGUUUUUAUUUUUCGUCUUUUUCUCUUUCAUAGGGCGAGUUUUUUUUUUUUUUUUUCAUUUUCAUGCAAUUGAAUUUUAUUUUGAAAUAAUAUAUAUUUUUUAAUUAGUUUUUAUUUUAUACAAAUAAAUUUUAUUUUUGUUAACAAAAUUAAAUUCCAAUUUUUAAUUUAAAUAACCAUUUAUUUUUCUCUCUUCACUAAAAAAAAUUAUUUAUUUUAAAAUCAGUUUGAUUGUUAUUGAAAUUCAGUCAGAAUGUAUAUUUAUUGUAUUUUUAAAUGGAUGAAAUUUUCUUCAAUAUUUUUCUUUAAUUUUUAAAUUUAUGUUUAUGUUAAUCUUCAUAUUUUGGAUAUUUAGAGUUCUAAUUCACUGUUUUUGUGUUAAUUGAAUAAAAUUAGUUGUUACAAUUUUUUUUGUUACCAAAAUUAAUUAAAAUUUUAGUUAUAUUUAAAUUAUAUUCACAUAAAGUAUAGUACUUAUUAUUAUUAUUUAGUGCUUAAAAAGAUAAAGAUAUGAGAUAAACAGUAUAAAAUAUAUCUGUUUUAGAAAGUAUAAAUCAAAUAAUAAAAAUACAAAUGAUCUAAACUUUUAAAAUUCAAACUAAAUCUAAACUAAAUUUAUUAUGUUAUUUAUAAUUUAAAUCUUAAAACAGUUAAAAAUUGUAAUUUAUCAAAUAUUUAAAAAAUUAGCAAAAUAUUUUUAAAAAAUAGAUUUAUUUGAAAAUUUAUCAAAAUAUUUGAAAAAUUAAGCAGAUAUUUGAAUAACAAAUUUUGUUUUCUAGAAAUAUUAGUAGUUUUUUUUACGUUUUUUUAUAUAUAAAAAAAACUAAUUUACCCGUAAUAUAUUUUCUAACUAAAUUAUUUUUUAAAAACCAUCCACAAAUCUUAUGCAUAAUUAAAUCUUAAAUAUAUAAAAUCGUGUAAAACUAGAUAAAUAAAGAAAAAUAUCGAACAUAGCAUUUAAAUCUCAAUGAAGGUGAAAAAAUUUGAAAAAUUAUUAAAACGUAAUCAUCCCAUUUCAAAAGAAAAUAAAAACUCAUAAUCAUGGUUCUUUUUUCUAUUUUUUAAAUUAUUAUUGACUAUAUUUAUUAAUUUUUUACUUCAUUAUGAAUGAAGGUGAACGCUGAUGAAUGCACAGAUGAACGCGAAUGGAAGGUUAGGUGAACGACGCUUUUGAUUUCGGGUGGAGAAGGGACAAAGUCACGGCGAAUUAGGUUUAAUUAAGAAAAGGGUAAGUGAUCUAAUUGAAACGUUGCGUUUUGUAAAAGAAUAUUAACACACUAAUUUUUUUUAGAAAUUUAUUGACGUUUUUAAAAUGUCAAAAACAAAUUAGAAAUUUAUUGACGUUUUUAAACACGUCAACGAAUUUUUAGAAUUAUCUUGACGUUUUAAAAACGUCAAUAAUUUUUUAUAAAUUUCUUGAUGUUUUUAAAAAUGCCAAGAAUUUUUUAGAAUUAUCUUGACAUUUUAAAAACGUCAAAUUUUUUUUAUAAAUUUCUUGACAGUUUUUAAAACAUCGAGAAAAAACUAUAUAUUAUUGACGUUUAAAAAAUGUCAAAAAAUUAUUAGAUAUUUUUUUAUGUUUAAAAAACGUUAAGAAAAAGUUGAAAAUUGGCAUUUCAUAAAAAAUCUUGACGUUUUUUAUUUGAAAUCACAUUUUUUGACGUUUUUUUUUCCAAAAACAUCAAAAAAGGAAAACUACAACCAUCAAGAGAGCUUGUUUUUGUAGUAGUGAAUGGUUGAAGAUUACUAAACAACAUUGCGUAAAAAUUAAAAUAUUAGCGAGAUAUAACUACUAUAUAAUUAAUAAAUUAACAUAAAAAUGAAUUAUAACAAUAUUAAAAGUGCAUUGUAACCAUCAUUAUCAUAAUUAUCCAUCAAAGAAAAUUAAUUAUAGGUUUUAAAAAUUUUAAUUUUGGAAAAUGAACUACCAAUUUCUUAAUAAUAAUUCAAUAUAUUAGAGAAAGAUCUCUCAUUUUAGCUUAAAUCCGUUAAUCUCGAGUUUCACUUUUGCCAAACCUUAUAUAUAUAAUUGAGAUUUAAAUUCAUACAAAUGUUAUUUGCAACAAUGUUACUAUAUAAUUUAGUCUAAUUUAAUAUGAAUAUUAGAAUAGUAUUACAAAAAAAAUAAAAAAUAAACAAAUAAUGAAACUAAGAUUAUAAACUUUUGUUUGGUAUGUUUAGAGUAUUAGCACAUGGGAUUAUUUCUACCUAUCAUUUACAAAAGAUCUGAAUUUUUAAAAUUCAAACUAAAUCAGAUAAUAAAAAUACAAAACAUGUAAAUUUUUAAAACUUAAAUUAAAUGCAGACAAGAAUUUGAAAUUGGUCAAGUAUUUAAGAAAAAUUAGGAAUAUACAAAAAUGAAACUGCAUGAAUCAUUUGUAAAAUGUAUUUAGAUUAUUCUUAAUUGAUAAAUUCAUUUGAAAAUUAAUGUAAUUGAAAUAGAAAUUGAGGGGAAGAAUUAAUAAUUUUAAUAUAAGAUUUGGCAAGGAUGUUAAGAAAAUUAAAAAAGAAAUAAGAUUGAUUUGAUAUAUAAAUUUUGCAACAAAAAUGAAGUCACUCGCCCUCUUUCUUUUUUCCUUUUUUCUUUUAUAAAUAAAUGUUAAAAAUCAACUAUAAGUAAAAAUUUCAAAACAACAAUAUUUUGGUAAUGAGUUUUAAAAAAUGCAUUACUUGUAUUUUAUACGUUUUAGAAUACAUUUUGUUUAUUUAAAACAUAUAUCAUUUUGGAAAAAAAUUAGAAUGUCCUUUUUUUUCUUAAUCACUCAAAAUAGUUUUUUUAGGCAAUAUACUAUUAAAAAAUAUUUAUUUUAAACUAGUAUUUCACUAAUGAUGGAAAAAAAUGUUACUUUUGUUUCAAUAAAAAUUAAAAAACAUUUAAAGGUUAAUUGUAAUAUAGUGUCUUACAAGUUAGAUAGGAGACCACAUUUCUCAUUUAAAAGUCUAGUUGAUUGAAGAACAUCCAACGUAUAGGGUGUCAACUAUCUAUUAUUUGUCUACUUGAACUUAACACUCCUUUUGAUUUCGUAAUAUUAUUGAUCGAACGUUCUAACAAAACGUAUGAUAUCUAUUAUUUGUCUACUUGAAUUUAACACUCCUUUUGGUUUCGUAAUAUUAUUAAUCAAACGUUCACACAACUGCGAUACCUUGUUCAUACAUUUUUUUCUGCAUGAUACCUUGUUCGUCCAUCGUAAUCAACAUGAGACUUUGCAACCUCUAAAAAUUGAAACCUCUAAAAAUUGAGACACUCCCUCGCGAGUUUCUAGUUGAUCUUGUAAUUAUAAAGUUGACGGGCGAAAACCAUUAAAACAUAGUGAAAUAGAACACCAAUGUUUGAUUCUCACUCACGCUUGAGUUUCUACCUCAGUUCUUGCAGGUUGUUAAUGCUGUUGAAGAAGCAGUGGACUAUAUCUUUCCAUCAAUAACACAUUUCUUAAUGAUUUUUUUCCUACCUAGUAAUGAUCUCUCACUUGUAUGAUUCGUUCCGUUGACAUAUGGAGAGCAUAUGAAUUGCAUAAUACACGCAUAAUAUCAAUAUUCAAAUUCUUAACUCAGAUCCAAUUUUCUACCAUUAAUCUAAUAAAGGUUAAGAAAUUAAUACUGUUAUGCAAUCCUAUAAGAAAAGGAAAAGCAUUGGUGUUCAAAUACAUAUCAUCCUAUAAGAAAAGGAAACGCAUGAAAAACAGGGACUUGUGUCCCAAAGCUAUGGAAAUAGUUUGGCCGCAAGGGCUUAUAGACCAUAAUGCUAGAGAGAGGCUCUCCAAGCAUACUGUGGGAAGAUAAGGUUCAAAUACUUACAAGUUCUUGGAAAACAUGAACUCGACCACCCUUUGGGCGAUCGGAUGAUAACUCUCACGAGCUUCAGAAUAUAUCCUAUUUGCUAAAAUCUUCUCUUCUUCCAUCCCAGGGCCUUGUGUAAGAGCACCGUACAGUUUGCGAAGGUACCUCAUUCUCCCAACUUCCUUCAAAGUUUUCUCAACCUCAGCAUAGCAAUCUCGGUACUUCGAAGAAAUAGCUAGUUCAAGAAAUGCAACUUUGAUAUCGUAAUUCUUUGAUUCCGAGAAUCUAUACCGCACAUCUAGCGCCUGAAUCUAUAAAUUCAAACAGAACGUAACAGAACAUGACUGAUUAAGUAAUCAUGAACAGAGUACCGUUUACACAAUGUUGAUGGAAAUCAAGGAUUCAAAAGACAUCUAUGGUUUCUAGAAAAUAUGGAAAAGACUCCUCAUUCAUAACUCAGGAACCUAAACUAACGAAAGAGAAGACUGAAAUAAGUAAAUGCAAAGCCAAUCAUCUUCAAAUGGCUACCUUGAUCACAUACUACGAAUUUCUGUUCAAAAUGCUUAAGAUAAAUGGAAUUCAUUCAAGGGCAAAAUCAACCAUAGAAAUCAGAAAGUGGUUAAACUCAAGUAUAGCUGGGUAAUAAGAUAUCUGUAUCACUUUCUUAGAAGUCUAAAGUUCGAACUUUCACUAAAAAGAGGUCUGGAGAUAGAGGUAUAAAGAACAUAUUAAUCCGAAAAAUCCGAACCUGUGAGACUUCAAUGGAUCUUGGCAGAUUCUCCAAGUACAGCUCCCAUCCCCGGCCUCCCCAAUCAGCAGUUUCUUCUUCCUUGGGCAUUUUACCAAGCUUAAAGUCAUUGGCUAGCGAUAGGAUCUUCAUGUACAAAUAAGAAACUGGUUCCUGAGCAUCUGGAGGGAUACCAGUGCCUUCAAUCCAGAGUUCCAAAUCUAUUUCUUCCUCUAUUCCAGGGAACUCUCUUAUCAAGAAAUCAAGAAAGGUCUCUGUAUCUAUUGUCUUAAAGCUAUAGAUAGAAAUAUAUUCCCUCAGAAAUUUAUCAAAUUCGGGCCUUCCCACCUAAAUAGUCAUUGAAGAAUGAUUAGAACAAACAAAAACAUCAAAAAAAAAUAUUGAUAUAGUUUGAAGUAACAAGAAUUUAACAUACCUGGCGCUCAAUACGCCAUAGGAACUGAAAACCCUUUUCAUAAGGUAUUCGAGAAUACACAUCGUCUGGAUCCACGCCUUCUUGAUUCGUCUUUAGCUUUGUGAAUUCUAAAUUAUCCUUAAAUUUUUCAACAUCCUCUUUCCAACCCUUCCAACCAAUUCCCAUAUUGAGAGCAGCUGCAUCAUUCCCUUGCACAGCCUCAAUGAUUCUCCUUUCUGCAUAAGUUGUAAAACCCUACAGCCAUCGGUGACAAAAUAGAAUAGCAUUAGAAGAAGUAAAAGAAAUAAAGGCAAUUGAAAGAACAAAGAGGUCUCUUCUAGUCAAUACAUCAUGAUUGAGUCGUCUUAACCUUAUGGGGAGAGUUGUAUUCUUUUAUCAUAAUCAUAAACAGCCAAAACUAGGAUCUUCUAAUCAUUCCGACCAUCACAAGAACAAAUUUGAGUUUGCAUCAACUAAUAGAGCUUGACUAUAUUACACUGAAUCUUCAUUGCUAAAAAAUGCAAGACAGUGAAGAAUUUCAUCGUCUAUAAUUAAUCCAUUUAUCUAAACUUAAGAAGGCUUAUUACACACCCCCACCUUCUCACACAAAAACACACUAGAAGAGAGUGUAAAAAAAAAUCAGAUAGCUCAAACUUUUUUUAAAAUGAAAACCAAGCUCUCCAUAGGAAGAUUGAAAGAAUACAGAAGAGAAAAACCACUACAAACAGCAUGUACAAAAGGACAAACCUACAAACAGAGUAACAAAAAGCUAGAGAAUAAGGGAGAAACAGUAGUUACAAAAAUCAUUAAGGAUAUUACCUCGUUCAACCAAAAAUGUUCGUUGUUUUUGUUAGUGAUCAGAUUCCCAGUCCAGCUAUGAGCAAGUUCAUGAGCAACCACAUGCGCCCCUGUUGAAUCUCCCUUUAUCACCGUCGGUGUCAAGAACACCAUCUUCGGAUUUUCCAUCCCAGCAUAAGGAAAGCUCGGAGGUAACACAAGCAAAUCGAAUCGCUCCCAACCGUAACGUCGAAAUAACUUCUCUCCUUGCUUUAUCAAAUCUUCUGUCCCCGCAAAUUCUCUCGCUGCAGCAUCGAGCACUGACGGCACUGAUUCUGCAUAAACUCUUGUCCUCGGUCCCACUUCCCUGAACGCAAUCUCUCCGACAGCAAAAGCGAACAAGUACGGAGCAAUCGGAUGCACCAUCGUAAAUUCUUCCACCACCCUCCCUUCAUCGGCCCACAGCAAAUCAAACCCUCCAGCCAAUAACUUAGCCUCGCCAGCAACCGGCGGGCGUCGUUCCACAUGGCGCGCUGCCAUGACUGCCGUUAAUUCCUGAGGAAUAUUCAAUCGCGCAGAGUAACGGAUACGGAACGCUGGAGUGUCUUGGGAAGGUAAAAUGGAACGAGCAUGAAUAGGAUGGCACUGUGUAUAGACAAAGGGAUGGGUUUUGUUGAAAGUCUGUGGAGGAGACAGCCAUUGAAGAGCCGAAGAUUCAACGGUAGUACUAUAAGUGACAAUUAAAGCGGAUUGACCACCGAGCGUAAUGG
rnacentral:lncRNA from 1 species